UUGUGGAUCAAAUGCCCAAAGUCACAACAAGCAAUGUUGAAGGGAAAAGAUUGGAAUGACUCACUCAGCAGGGUCAUGUGCGCAUUUGGAACAAGCUAAACAUGUUUAUCACGUGUUGGUAUGCAAAGUCAGAAGGUUCAAAACAACGUGAACUCCCUCCACCAAGUUCAUUUUUCUUCCGCCGCGCCAGAACUCGCCUCAAGUGGUGGCAGAGCCACAAUGCUAACACCAAUUACAUCACCUUCUUCAUCUCUUUCCCUUGAAUCUGAAUAUCACCGUUAAAUGAGCUACUUCCUCCUCACAAGUCCGAAUCAAAACAAAAUAGUUGAAGAACCCUAACAUUCUAACCUAAAAUUAAACUCUCACAUCUCAGAAUCAAAGCCCUAGAGGUUAGGGCUUUGAUUCCCCUAACCUCCUCCUACAUUUCGAUAACUCAUACGCUACGAAAUGAUGAUGAAGAAUGGCAAAUCACCUGAGCAGCGCCAGAAUCAGAUAAGAAUCUCGAAUCUUCUCCUUCUUUCUGAUUCUUUCUCUUCUUCUAAUUCUUCUACUUCUUCUGGAAAGUGUGAACCGUGCUUUGAGAAUGUGUGAUUGCAGAUAAUUAGAGAGGGAGAGAGUGAUGAGUGAUGAGGUUAAGCUUUACCCCAUUGAAGCUUCAAUGUGAAGCUUUAAUGGAGUAUUUCGAAGGAUCUUUGUGUGAGGGUGAAGAAAGAGGUUCUGAGAUUGAGAGGGAGAAAAUGAAAGGUUGUGAAGACUGAAUCUCAAAAAUUCUGAAAAUGGUGAAUGAAUCGUAACUGAAUGAUGUGAAAAUGAUGAAUCUUAAUUUAUAGUGUGGUGGAUUAACAGAGGUGAUCAACAGUGUUAGAUGAUUGAAGUGAGAGUUUGUUAGACUGAUAUCACGGAGUUAAUUUGUCAGUUAGAUUAAGUUAGCUUAGGUUAGUUGGAAAAAAGUUAGUUAGUUACAGUGACAAAUUAGUUAGUUUCAGUUAAAAAUGGAAUGAGUUAGACUCUCAGUUUUUACUUUUGUUAAAUGGUGAGUUAAUGUGAUGAAAUGGAAACUCGAAUUAACUUUUACCUGAGUUAGUAACUUAUCUGUUAAACAUGAUAUCCGGUUGAUGCUAGUCGUUAAUCUGAGUUUAAUUGUGAUGUUAAGUUGUUGUUAGUUGGAGUUACUUGUUACUGAAAAUAAAUUGGUUUAGGUUGUUAAAUGUUGUUAUGGAAAAAUGUUGAAUUGAUGUGUGUUAUGUAAAAUGGUGUAGCUCGAUGUUGAUGCAUUAACUGGUCUACUCGAUGUGAAAUGUUGUUAAUGUUGCUCAAUUUUGAAUGAUGGAUAUCUAUUGUUGCUUGAUAAUUGGUAUGCCUUGCUGAUUUGUUGUAUUGUUGCUAGAUUGUUCAAUGUUGGUGCAGGCUUCGUACAUGUUACAUACACUCACUGCAAGAUGAUUAUUGCAGGGUGCUAGGUCUGUUGUUUGAUUAUAGAUGCAGAGUGAUAUUGUGAUGCUUAUGGCUGUUAUGAGGGCUAUUAUUUAGGUUAUGGCAGUUUGGAUUGUGCAAUGUUUGUGAUGGUGAAUGGUAUGUUGUUGGAUGGUAGGUUUGAUGUAGGACUGUUUGCAUUGCCUUUGGUUAUUAUGCUAUUAGGUUGCAAUGGUCAUUGAAAGGAUAAUGUGUUGUAAUGGUCAUAUGGUCAUUUUGUUUGUGGUAUAUGCAAUGGUUAGUUUUGAUUAAGUUGGUUUGAAAUGGUUUAGGUAAAUGUGUGAAGGCUAGGUCCAUGUCUAUGGUUACAUUGUGAUGGAUGUUAUGUCAUUCUAUGUGUUUUGGAAUAUUUUAUUUUGGUCAUUUGGUUAUGGUAAUGAAAAUCAACAUGUGUUUGGUUUCUUCUUGUAGGUGAUGGACAAUGCAAAGGUGGUCAUGAAGAACAAGAACAUUAGGGGUUUAGGGAUGGUAGAAUGAUGAGUUGACUUUGGUCAAUUGGUUGACCAAAAAGUCAAUAGUUGACAAAAAAAGUCAAUAGUUGACUAAAAGUCAACUUAUGCAAAAAUGAUGUAAUUUUGUAAUCUUUUUCAAUGCAAUGUAUAUGAACAAUGUACUCAAUGAAUCUUAUAAAUGCAAUGUAAUUUCUAAUUAAAA